rnacentral:tRNA from 1 species
AGUCCUGUAGUGUAUAGCAUGUUGGAUUGCAAAUCCAAAGAUGCAGGCUAACUGCCUGCCGGGGCUU